UCGGAGAGUUUGAUCCUGGCUCAGGAUGAACGCUGGCGGCGUGCCUAAUACAUGCAAGUCGAGCGAACUGAUUAGAAGCUUGCUUCUAUGACGUUAGCGGCGGACGGGUGAGUAACACGUGGGCAACCUGCCUGUAAGACUGGGAUAACUUCGGGAAACCGAAGCUAAUACCGGAUAGGAUCUUCUCCUUCAUGGGAGAUGAUUGAAAGAUGGUUUCGGCUAUCACUUACAGAUGGGCCCGCGGUGCAUUAGCUAGUUGGUGAGGUAACGGCUCACCAAGGCAACGAUGCAUAGCCGACCUGAGAGGGUGAUCGGCCACACUGGGACUGAGACACGGCCCAGACUCCUACGGGAGGCAGCAGUAGGGAAUCUUCCGCAAUGGACGAAAGUCUGACGGAGCAACGCCGCGUGAGUGAUGAAGGCUUUCGGGUCGUAAAACUCUGUUGUUAGGGAAGAACAAGUACAAGAGUAACUGCUUGUACCUUGACGGUACCUAACCAGAAAGCCACGGCUAACUACGUGCCAGCAGCCGCGGUAAUACGUAGGUGGCAAGCGUUAUCC
rnacentral:rRNA from 2 species